CAGUCGCCGCGGUAAAACGUAGGUGGCAAGCGUUGUCCGGAAUUAUUGGGCGUAAAGGGCUCGCAGGCGGUUUCUUAAGUCCGAUGUGAAAGCCCCCGGCUCAACCGGGGAGGGUCAUUGGAAACUGGGAAACUUGAGUGCAGAAGAGGAGAGUGGAAUUCCACGUGUAGCGGUGAAAUGCGUAGAGAUGUGGAGGAACACCAGUGGCGAAGGCGACUCUCUGGUCUGUAACUGACGCUGAGGAGCGAAAGCGUGGGGAGCGAACAGGAUUAGAUACCCCAGUAGUCCCUGUCUCUUAUAC
rnacentral:rRNA from 1 species